AGAGAGAGAGAGAGAGAGCAAAAGAGAGAAACAGAUUCUCUCACACAAACCUUCCAAAGAAUAUUCACUAUUUCCUUUUUCUUCUGGUGAUCACCUGCUGUCUCCAAAUCACAUGCACAUAUUUUCUUUUUUUUUUUUUCUAAAUAAAAUUUAUUUCUGAUCUUGUUUCCCCGGAAAAUUUUCUGCGUCGUACCUGUUUUUGUCCAAGGAUCCGCAUAUCUCGCAGGAGCCAAUCACACUUGCAUCCAAAUUUCUUUGUCGUCGAUCUUCAUCGUUUUCUUCUUCUUUUUUCCUUUUUGUUUUUAUGUUUUUCUUGCUAAGCAACCACUUGAAUAUUUUCUUUUAUAACUGUAAAGAUCAAGAAAGAGAAAAACUUGUGAUCUAGUGUUAUAGAUAAUAGCUUGUCCAGUUUUGGGUUGUUGAGAGUUUGAAAUUUGGAGAUUUUCUUCACCACUUUUGAGCUAAUCCAAGUGAGCAAACAGACGAGACUUCUUGGUGUUUGAGAAAGAGUCGAGGAAACAGUGAAAAAGGAGUGCGUGGUGGUGGGUGCUAAAUUCAGGAUCUGAUGGCUGAGUUUGGGGGGAAAUGGCGGGGUUUGAGAUCGACAUUAACGCUAUCCUUAAACUUUCUGUUAGCUUUCGUGCUUGUUUCAGCCGAGAGAGGCUGGAAGCGUGAAUUUACAUCAGUCCCUCAAACAGAGGAGGAUCUGUCAAGUUAUUUUCUCAAAGCCGCAGAUUUCUUAUGGCAACCUGAUGCAUCAGGGUAUCAACAUGUUUGGCCGGAAAUGAAAUUUGGUUGGCAAAUU
rnacentral:misc_RNA from 1 species